rnacentral:rRNA from 1 species
GAUGAACGCUGGCGGCGUGCCUAAUACAUGCAAGUCGAGCGAACGGACGAGAAGCUUGCUUCUCUGAUGUUAGCGGCGGACGGGUGAGUAACACGUGGAUAACCUACCUAUAAGACUGGGAUAACUUCGGGAAACCGGAGCUAAUACCGGAUAAUAUUUUGAACCGCAUGGUUCAAAAGUGAAAGACGGUCUUGCUGUCACUUAUAGAUGGAUCCGCGCUGCAUUAGCUAGUUGGUAAGGUAACGGCUUACCAAGGCAACGAUGCAUAGCCGACCUGAGAGGGUGACCGGGCACGGUGGGACUGAGAUACGGCCCAGACCCGUACGGGAGACAGCAGUGGGGAAUAUUGAACAAUGGGCGGAAGCCGGAUGCAGCAACGCCGCGUGCGUGAGCACGGCUUUCGGGUUGUAAACCGCUAUCGCCGGGGACGAAGCGUGAGUGACGGUAAGGGGUAAAGAAGCACCGGCUAACUACGUC